GACGAACGCUGGCGGCGUGCUUAACACAUGCAAGUCGAACGGAAAGGCCCUGCUUUUGUGGGGUGCUCGAGUGGCGAACGGGUGAGUAACACGUGAGUAACCUGACCUUGACUUUGGGAUAACUUCAGGAAACUGGGGCUAAUACCGGAUAGGAGCUCCUGCUGCAUGGUGGGGGUUGGAAAGUUUCGGCGGUUGGGGAUGGACUUGCGGCUUAUCAGCUUGUUGGUGGGGUAGUGGCUUACCAAGGCUUUGACGGGUAGCCGGCCUGAGAGGGUGACCGGCCACAUUGGGACUGAGAUACGGCCCAGACUCCUACGGGAGGCAGCAGUGGGGAAUAUUGCACAAUGGGCGGAAGCCUGAUGCAGCAACGCCGCGUGCGGGAUGACGGCCUUCGGGUUGUAAACCGCUUUCGCCUGUGACGAAGCGUGAGUGACGGUAAUGGGUAAAGAAGCACCGGCUAACUACGUG
rnacentral:rRNA from 1 species